rnacentral:lncRNA from 1 species
AUGCCCCCUUAUGCAGUGUUCCCUUAAGCCUAGAGGGAAUCUUCCUUUUCUCCACCCCCGCAUUUAUGUAUCUGUAGACACACUUGGGCAUUUAAGUGGAGAGGCCAGAGUAGACCAGAGUUUAAUAUCAGGUGGUUUUCUCUACCUCAAUUCACCUUACUUUUUCUCCUUAGGUUCUCUUGAUGAACCAGAAAUUGACCAAUUUGGGUAGAAUGUUUGGCUAGGACCUUGUCUUUGUGUGCCUGAAGCACAUGCUGGCUUUUUACUGGGCCUCUGGAGGAUCUGAAUUCAAGUCCUAUGUACAGCAUCAUUUUCCUCACAGACACCUCUGCCAGCCCUGUUUUAGGUCUUGCCUCCUCAGUAGGAAAUGAGAAAUUUGUGUCUCAUAGUUUCCUUAUACCUAUUUUCACUCAACAAAUGUUUUUGGUCAUAUAUUGUAUGCAAGUCACUAAACUAAGUGCUGAGAAUUUGGUUGUGGAUAAGAUAGUUUCAAGCCUUUUUGCAUGGAGCAUAUAUUUUAAUGGGAAAGGCAGUCAUUAAGUAGUCAGAUAAAUAACCAGAAUUAUAUCAUGAAAUGUAUCAUAGCUGCUAGAGUGACUCUUGAGGAAUUGACUAAUGGACACCACCAAUUUCUUAGCUACUGACAAGUUGGAAGCACAGAAAGCUGGAUAGGAAUUUAUGGCUGAGGCCUACAGAUACCAUCAGCAUUUUAGUGCAGUCAAUAAAUUAAGUGAUGUUCAGGCUGUUUUCUGUGUUUUUCUCGUUUCUGACAUAGAACAAUGAUUAUGUCAGUUGCUCUGUGGUUUAAAGCCACAGUUAUUCUGAGAGGACACAGUUGCCAUCAGUGAGCAGUGACUGAUCCAAAAGAAUUCUGGCCGAGGUCUUGCCAGUGAUGGAAAGAAACGGUCUCUGUGGUGGGUAAGAGCAUGAAGACUGCUGAGUGAAGCACCUCAUGACGUCAUUCGGAUGCUUCUGGCUGAGAACUCUCCAGGGCACAUUCA